AUUGAACGCUGGCGGCAGACUUAACACAUGCAAGUCGAGCGAGCGGCGGACGGGUGAGUAAUGUCUGGGAAACUGCCUGAUGGAGGGGGUAAACUACUGGAAACGGUAGCUAAUACCGCAUACCAUCAGAUGUGCCCAGCUGGGGUUGGCUAGUAGGUGGGGUAAUGGCUCACCUAGGCGACUAUCUCUAGCUGGUCUGAGAGGAUGACACGCCACUCGGGAAUGGGGUCACGUGCCAGACUCCGACGUGAGGCAGCUGUGGGGAAUAUUGCACAGUGGGCGCAAGCCUGAUGCUGCCAUGCCGGGUGUGUGAAGAAGGCCUUCGGGUUGUAAAGCACUUUCGGCGAGUAGGCGUUACUCGCAGAGGAAGCACCGGUAAACUCCGUGCCAGCAGCGGCGGUAAUA
rnacentral:rRNA from 1 species